GUGGGGAAUAUUCCGCAAUGGACGAAAGUCUGACGGAGCAACGCCGCGUGAGUGAUGAAGGUUUUCGGACUGUAAAGCUCUGUUGUUUAGGACGAAAGUGCCUGUUGCGAAUAGUUACAGGUAUUGACGGUACUGAACGAGGAAGCCACGGCUAACUACGUGCCAGCAGCCGCGGUAAUACGUAGGUGGCAAGCGUUGUCCGGAAUUAUUGGGCGUAAAGAGCAUGUAGGCGGGAAUCUAAGUCUGUUGUGAAAAUGCGGGGCUCAACCCCGUAUUGCGAUGGAAACUGGGUUUCUUGAGUGCAGGAGAGGAAAGGGGAAUUCCCAGUGUAGCGGUGAAAUGCGUAGAUAUUGGGAGGAACACCAGUGGCGAAGGCGCCUUUCUGGACUGUAACUGACACUGAGGCACGAAAGCGUGGGGAGCAAACAGGAUUAGAAACCCUUGUAGUCC
rnacentral:rRNA from 1 species